UUUAUGGAGAGUUUGAUCCUGGCUCAGGAUGAACGCUGGCGGCGUGCCUAAUACAUGCAAGUCGAGCGAACAGAUGAGGAGCUUGCUCCUCUGACGUUAGCGGCGGACGGGUGAGUAACACGUGGGUAACCUACCUAUAAGACUGGAAUAACUCCGGGAAACCGGGGCUAAUGCCGGAUAAUAUGCGGAACCGCAUGGUUCUGCAAUGAAAGACGGUCUUGCUGUCACUUAUAGAUGGACCCGCGCCGUAUUAGCUAGUUGGUAAGGUAACGGCUUACCAAGGCAACGAUACGUAGCCGACCUGAGAGGGUGAUCGGCCACACUGGAACUGAGACACGGUCCAGACUCCUACGGGAGGCAGCAGUAGGGAAUCUUCCGCAAUGGGCGAAAGCCUGACGGAGCAACGCCGCGUGAGUGAUGAAGGUCUUCGGAUCGUAAAACUCUGUUAUUAGGGAAGAACAAGUGCGUAGGUAACUAUGCGCAACUUGCCGGUACCUA
rnacentral:rRNA from 1 species